AUUGAACGCUGGCGGCAUGCUUUACACAUGCAAGUCGAACGGUAACAGGCCUUCGGGUGCUGACGAGUGGCGAACGGGUGAGUAAUGCAUCGGAACGUACCCAGAGGUGGGGGAUAACGCAGCGAAAGCUGUGCUAAUACCGCAUGUGAUCUGAGGAUGAAAGCGGGGGACCGAGCAGCAAUGUUUGGCCUCGCGCCUUUGGAGCGGCCGAUGUCGGAUUAGCUAGUUGGUGGGGUAAAGGCCUGCCAAGGCGACGAUCCGUAGCUGGUCUGAGAGGACGACCAGCCACACUGGGACUGAGACACGGCCCAGACUCCUACGGGAGGCAGCAGUGGGGAAUUUUGGACAAUGGGCGCAAGCCUGAUCCAGCAAUGCCGCGUGUGGGAAGAAGGCCUUCGGGUUGUAAACCGCUUUUGGCAGGAACGAAACGGUGUCCGCUAAUACCGGGCGCUAAUGACGGUACCUGCAGAAUAAGCACCGGCUAACUACGUG
rnacentral:rRNA from 1 species